CAGCCGCCACGGGAAUACGUAGGGUGCAAGCGUUAAUCGGAAUUACUGGGCGUAAAGCGUGCGCAGGCGGUUAUAUAAGACAGAUGUGAAAUCACCGGGCUCAACCUGGGAACUGCAUUUGUGACUGUAUAGCUAGAGUACGGCAGAGGGGGAUGGAAUUCCGCGUGUAGCAGUGAAAUGCGUAGAGAUCGGAAGGAACAUCUGUGGCGAAGGCAAUCCCCUGGGCCUGUACUGACGCUCAUGCACGAAAGCGUGGGGAGCAAACAGGAUUAGAUACCCGGGUAGUCCCUGUCUCUUAUAC
rnacentral:rRNA from 1 species